rnacentral:sRNA from 1 species
UUGGGGUUGACAUUCUAGUGACUCUUCAUAUAGUCUAGAAGCAGCUCAAUGAAUAGUGUCUGUGGUUGUUACCAGGGACACAAUGACAGGAACAUUCUUGGGUAGAGUGAGAGGCCUGGGGAGGGAAGGGUCUCUAGAAUGGAGCAGAUGCUGGGCAGUCUUAGGGAGCCCCUCCUGGCAUGCACCCCCUCAUCCCUCAGGCCACCCCCGUCCCUUGCAGGAGCACCCUGGGGAGCUGUCCAGAGCGCUGUGCCGCUGUCUGUGGCUGGAGGCAGAGUAGGUGGUGUGCUGGGAAUGCGAGUGGGAGAACUGGGAUGGGCCGAGGGGAGGCGGGUGAGGGGGGGCAACCACCCAACACCCACCAGCUGCUUUCAGUGUUCUGGGUCCAGGUGCUCCUGGCUGGCCUUGUGGUCCCCCUCCUGCUUGGGGCCAUGCUGACCUACACAUACCGCCACUGCUGGCCUCACAAGCCCCUGGUUACUGAUGAAGCUGGGAUGGAGGCUCUGACCCCACCACCGGCCACCCAUCUGUCACCCUUGGACGGCGCCCACACCCUUCUAGCACCUCCUGACAGCAGUGAGAAGAUCUGCACCGUCCAGUUGGUGGGCAACAGCUGGACCCCUGGCUACCCCGAGACCCAGGAGGCGCUCUGCCCGCAGGCGACAUGGUCCUGGGACCAGUUGCCCAACAGAGCUCUUGGCCCCGCUCCUGCGCCCACAUUCUCGCCAGAGUCCCCAGCCGGCGCGCCCGCCAUGAUGCUGCAGCCGGGCCCGCAGCUCUACGACGUGAUGGACGCGGUCCCAGCGCGGCGCUGGAAGGAGUUCGUGCGCACGCUGGGGCUGCGCGAGGCAGAGAUCGAAGCCGUGGAGGUGGAGAUCGGCCGCUUCCGAGACCAGCAGUACGAGAUGCUCAAGCGCUGGCGCCAGCAGCAGCCCGCGGGCCUGGGCGCCGUUUACGCGGCCCUGGAGCGCAUGGGGCUGGA